rnacentral:rRNA from 1 species
UUGCCUUUUGAAAACACGACCCGUGCACAUGUAACGUAAAGCUGCCGGGGAGGAGCUCCUCCUCCUCGGCACCACCGGCCCCGAACAUGAUCUCGCCCUCUGUGGCGUGCUGGUCGUGGUGUCGGAAACGGCGCAGGAUGACGCCAAGGAACACAUAUUUGCUGAGGCAGGCGGUGAUGCUUCGGCAUUGCGUGAUCUGCUGAGGCUAAGGUAACAAAACGAGAUGACUCCCGGCAACGGAUAUCUCGGCUCUCGCAUCGAUGAAGAACGUAGCGAAAUGCGAUACAUGGUGUGAAUUGCAGAAUCCCGUGAACCAUCGAGUCUUUGAACGCAAGUUGCGCCCGAGGGACCAUCCCGAGGGCACGCCUGCCUCAUGGGCGUUAGAAGCCAAUCCACGCUCGGUGCAGCUGGCUUCCAGCUUUGGGCUGAUGCGGACAAUGGCCCUCCGAGCCGCGAGGCGCGACGGGCAGAAGUGUAUGGCCGUCGGUUGAGGCCGGGAGCGGCGAGUGGUGGGCUACUGCGCACGCUGCCUCCGAACCUCAUGCCGAUGUACGGCCUAUUUUGACCCCGAAACGAGGAGUUUGUCGUUGUGUGCGGCAGCCUCGGACCGAU